rnacentral:lncRNA from 1 species
UUUUUUCUUGGGUGUAUGAACUGUGUGUAUAGAAAAUGGCGGAUGAAAACUGGGUAUAUGAACUGCAAAUGUAACUGUCGUUAAUGCAUGUCGUAAUACGAAGUGCGGAUCUGGUGGCGUCGCAGUUGGAUCAGUGACUACUGACAAGUAAGGUGGAUCUACGGUUGGUUGAUUUUGGAGGUGCAUCUUAGUUGUCCACAGUUCACACUAAAGUGAAAGGCAAUUUGGUUGCCACUGCUUAAUUUUCUCGUGUACCUCUAGUGUCAUUUAUCUUUCUUUUUAUCUUCCUUCCUCAAUUGUGUCGUGUUUUGUUGAGAUGGAGGUUGAAGGGUUGUAUUUGAAAAAUGGAAAUGAAAAUUUGUUU